AACGCACGAGACCUGCGGACCUGCGGAAGGAUCAUUAAUGAGAAGCUGCCCCUCGUGGGUAGACCUCCCACCCUCUGUGAACUUACCUUUGUUGCUUUGGCAGGCCCGUCCUCUGGACCGCCGGCUUCGGCUGGCCCGUGCCUGCCAGAGGAUUCUAAACCCUGUCUGUCAGUGUUGUCUGAGUCUAUAUGAAAUCGUUAAAACUUUCAACAACGGAUCUCUAGAUCGGAAGAGCACACG
rnacentral:misc_RNA from 1 species